rnacentral:rRNA from 1 species
UGGGGAAUUUUGGACAAUGGGCGAAAGCCUGAUCCAGCAAUGCCGCGUGUGUGAAGAAGGCCUUCGGGUUGUAAAGCACUUUUGUCCGGAAAGAAAUCCUUGGCUCUAAUACAGUCGGGGGAUGACGGUACCGGAAGAAUAAGCACCGGCUAACUACGUGCCAGCAGCCGCGGUAGUACGUAGGGUGCAAGCGUUAAUCGGAAUUACUGGGCGUAAAGCGUGCGCAGGCGGUUUGCUAAGACCGAUGUGAAAUCCCCGGGCUCAACUGGGAACUGCAUUGGUGACUGGCAGGCUAGAGUAUGGCAGAGGGGGGUAGAAUUCCACUGUAGCAGUGAAAUGCGUAGAGAUGUGGAGGAAUACCGAUGGCGAAGGCAGCCCCCCUGGGGCCAAUACUGACGCUCAUGCACGAAAGCGUGGGGAGCAAACAGGAUUAGAUACCCUGGUAGUCCACGCCCUAAACGAUGUCAACUAGUUGUUGGGGAUUCAUUUCCUUAGUAACGUAGCUAACGCGUGAAGUUGACCGCCUGGGGAGUACGGUCGCAAGAUUAAAACUCAAAUGAAUUGACGGGGUCAUAGCUGUUUCCU